CCCAGUGAUCUUUUUCCUGAAGUGUCUCCCAGCAAGCUGAGAUUAGAAUUGGUUCUUACUAGCCUUGCCCCAUGCCUUGUGCACUGCAUUAGCUGCCAGGGCGGUUGCCCUGCUUGAAGACACGCACCCAUCCAUGGAGCCGGCAGCCUUGUCCUCACUGGUGUGUCAGCGUGAGAGUACGUACAUGCAUACAGUAAUUGAAGAGAUCAAGGCUGAGUGCGCCCAGCAGACCGACAAAGCCAAUUACCCCUCAGGAAUUUCUGCUCCUCAGGCUCGGAUGGUGAUUACAAAACCUUUGCCAUUAAAAAUUAGCCAAGAGAGAAACUCUUUGCCAGAGUCCGGCAGGAAUUUCCCAUGCCCAUCUGAUACACAGAGUGACCACAAAAUGUGCUGCUGCCAAACCAAGGAUAUCACCUUUUCAGAGGCCUGACAUUCCCUUCUACUUUAGGAGGUCACUCUUACCGCUGUGGCAUGCUGCUGUUGCUGUUUCCUGAUCUGUGAAGAAAGAAGUAGGAGAAGCUGAAGAUCUUUAGGAAACUCCUGAGUGAUAGAG